GGAUGGACCAUAGCUCAGGUGCAGAGCAUCUGCCUUGCAUACUGGAAAGGUCCCAGGUUCAAAUCCUGGUGUCUCCA